UGCCAGCAUUAAACAGAAAAUAAUUCUUCCUUUCUAUGGAGUGUCCAAGGAGUUUAAUGUUUCAGCUCAUUUUCUAAUUUCCUUACAUACCUGCAACAAACAGAAACAAUUACAAGUACUGAGAAUGUAGAGAAUAAGUCAUAUAAAUGGCAAUCUGGAGACAAAGUCCAUAACAGAAACUGUAGAGCAAUAAAGUAAUACAUAGUAUUUAACAGAAACUAUAUAGCAGAAAAAUAAUAUUCAUGGCAACAUGAUACACACCAGAUGGUCAACACAUUUCAUUUGGUAAGUAUAUGUAUAAUUUGAUAAGCUCAAUAGUUUUGGUAGGCCUAUCUUAUUUAAAUGUAUACUGUGCUUCAUGUAUUCACAGCUUUCAAUAUAUUUUUUUUGUUUUAUAUUUGUCAAACAUUCAGUUACAUAAAAAAUUGGAAAUAUUGUAUACCUACAUUACAAAGAGUGUUUGGUGAUUUAAUGCAAUGUCAAAAUUAGCACCUAAUUAUACACAUUAAUUAAAAAAAAAAAAAACUACUACUGCUUAUAAACACAAGUGGUAACAAUAGUUAACAGCACUUAGCUCUUAAUGUUUCUCAGGUAGAUGUAUAGAAUAUAAAUGUGUGGUGAUUGUAGUAGUGACUGCAUUUUGCGAUACUGUAUGCUGCAACACUAAGGGCCGAUAUUAUGACCUCCGGCUAAAUCCACAGGUUAGCUAGCCUCCAGGUAAGGCUAGCCUCCGGUUAACGAAAGAGGGGUGUAUUAUGACCCAUACUUAGCCUGCGGUUGGCUAACCGGAACGUGACGAAGCGUGUGGUGUAAUAAUGGGUGUGUUGGUAAUGAAAUAAACCAGAACUUUGUAACUUUUGUUGUUGCAAGUCAGGUUUUUUUUUUCUGGUAGAAUGUUAGUCAGCUGUUUGUAUUGUGAAUCGUAGACAUUGUUUCCGGAAAAUACUUGUCGGUUUUCAUUUCAUUGGCGUAGGUUUUAUUUUUGCAUUAAUUAUGACGGCUGCAACAAAAAAAGGAAGACGCUGCAAUUUUUCAAUGGAAGAUAAUAUCAGAUUAUCAGAGAUCGUGCUGAAAUUCAGCCAUAUCGUUGAAAACAAGAAAACUGAUGCGGUCAUGUGGCGUGAAAAGGUAUUAAUUAUAUAAAUAGCAUUUGUGUGUGUGUGAAGUAAAUAAGUAAUUGUUAAUUUAGGUAUAUUAAUUCUAUCAUUUGCUUAUUAUUUUUCAGAACAAAACAUGGGAACAAAUUGCGGCAGAAUUUAAUGCAGGCUCCAUUGAUCACAGGACUGCGGAUCAGCUUCGGCAAAAAUUUGAGUCUCUGAAAAAAUCAGCCAGGAAAGAGCUUGCCAAAGAAAGACAAGAGCUGUUGGCCACAGGAGGUGGAACUUCAGAUUUUAAGAUCAGUGCUGUGACAGAACUUCUUCGACAGUUACUGCUGAUGUCUGGCAUUGGCAUGAAAAGUGCCUAUGAUUGUGAUGAGCUGUCACUGCCACCAUUUAUACAUUCCGAAGAGGCAGAUCAUACCUACACAUCAAGAGACAUGUUAGAUGGAAGCAUAGGAUUGUGUGAAACAGUGGUGGAGACCUUUGAUGGGACAGAGCCAAAUGCUGUAUUGCUGUCUGCUGCUUACUCUGUGGCUGACAAAACUUUGACAACAGACGUGGAGGAUGACCUUGUUUUAAACAGCCAACCUAGUUGGGACAAAUAUUCCCCAGGAAUGUUGAAACGCCCGAAGCAUCCUGUUAUAAUGGCUGCUUUGAAAGGAAAAGAUUUGCAAGAAAAGGCAGCAAACAAUUUUAUAAAAAGGAGGAGGCCAAUGUUGAAUCCAAGCAGCCCGAAGAAAAGUAUCAAUAGCAAAACAUUAAGCUCAUGGGCCACAGCAAGAAAGGAGCUUGCCAUCACCCAGAAAUGUCUGCUGCAGGAAGAAUUAGCUGCCAGAAACAGCCGUGAAGAUGAGCUUCAUGAAAAGCAAUUGGCUAUCAUCGCUGCCAGAGAAUCAAGAGAGCAGGAAAUUCACAAGAAGCAACUGUCUAUCCUCGCUGCAAGAGAAAAAAGAGAGCAGGAAAUUCAUGAUGUAAAUCUGUUGAUAUUAAAGCUUAAAUGUAAAAAAGUAGAGCUUGAAAUUACCAAAACAGCUGUAUAAAUACAAAAUUUUGUUAUUGAAUGUGAAAAUCAUUAUGUUCUAGCAUAAUAUUAUUUUUUUUAUCUACCUAUAUCGUUAGUUGUAGUGUAAAGUCUAUAGAAUGGCUUUUUCACUUGACUGUUUCAUUUCUUGGAAAAUGUUAUUUUAAUUAAUUUUUUGUUCAAGUUCUAUUGUGUUAUCUUAUUUUUGUGCUGACUAUGUAUAAAGUUUUAUUGGGUUACAUUUUUAGUAAGUAAUCAUACAUUUCUGUAAAUUAUUAUUUAAUGAGAAACAAAAUAGCAAGAAUUACAAUAAAUUUCUGAAAUAAUUUA